rnacentral:rRNA from 1 species
CAGCACCUCAAGUGGUCAGGAUGAUUAUUGGGCCUAAAGCAUCCGUAGCCGGCGCUGUAAGUUUUCGGUUAAAUCUGUAUGCUCAACAUACAGGCUGCCGGGAAUAUUGCAGAGCUAGGGAGUGGGAGAGGUAGACGGUACUCGGUAGGAAGGGGUAAAAUCCUUUGAUCUAUUGAUGACCACCUGUGGCGAAGGCGGUCUACCAGAACACGUCCGACGGUGAGGGAUGAAAGCUGGGGGAGCAAACCGGAUUAGAUACCCGAGUAGUCC